AGCGAACGCUGGCGGCAGGCCUAACACAUGCAAGUCGAACGAACUCUUCGGAGUUAGUGGCGGACGGGUGAGUAACACGUGGGAACGUGCCUUUUGGUUCGGAAUAACUCAGGGAAACUUGUGCUAAUACCGAAUGUGCCCUUCGGGGGAAAGAUUUAUCGCCAUUAGAGCGGCCCGCGUCUGAUUAGAUAGUUGGUGAGGUAACGGCUCACCAAGGCGACGAUCAGUAGCUGGACUGAGAGGAUGACCAGCCACACUGGGACUGAGACACGGCCCAGACUCCUACGGGAGGCAGCAGUGGGGAAUCUUGCGCAAUGGGCGAAAGCCUGACGCAGCCAUGCCGCGUGAAUGAUGAAGGUCUUAGGAUUGUAAAAUUCUUUCACCGGGGACGAUAAUGACGGUACCCGGAGAAGAAGCCCCGGCUAACUUCGUG
rnacentral:rRNA from 1 species